UUCCCGGCGCUGCUCGCACUGCUUUUCGCCGAGCGUUAUCACGUGGUACAAAAAUGACGUCAAAUGUUCAACUGCGCCGCUGCGAAGCCAACUUCACGGGUGCGUCGCCGACUUGUUCUGUCAGUGCCAUCGAAAUUGCAGUCAGCGGACCGUCGAGCGUGCGUUACACCGAUCGGCUCCGGGUUGCAGUAUGACGAGGUGCAGUGUGCCAAACUGCACAAAUCGCACGCAAAGUGGCAGAGCUUUUUACGCGGUGCCAUGCGGACGGACGAGACCGGCCAGCUCCGAAAGGGACCAGGAUGUGCGAGUGGCUUUGAAUUCUGCCCCCAAGGCUUCAAGAACCAGCACUCAUACCCUGCUACCACCAGUUAGUGCUCAUCCAUUUCCUUGUAUGAAAUAAAUUUGAUCUAGAAGCUCGUG